rnacentral:sRNA from 1 species
UCAGAAGACUCCCAGAGAUUGGGGACGGCCGAGGCAGGUCGGGGGUCUGGUUUGGAUCCCCGGGUUACUUUCUGUUUCAUUUUGAAAUGUUCCCUGUUUCUGAAACCGGUUGCCUCCGAUGUCAAGUAAAACGCAGGACUCCUUGGAGACGCCAGCUGGGCUUCUAAGGACUGGGGCUCUGUGAAGGUAAGAGGCAGUCUGUGCCCCACCGGCUGCCACUUUAGAGAGGUCUGAGUAUCCGCAGGUCACACCCAGGAGGAGUUGGUGUGCCUGCCAACUGUUCUGGGCUCUGAAUGAGGCUGGAGAGACCAUCGUGGAGGCGGUUUCAGGUUAGAAAAGGGAUAAAAUGGACCCUUCAUGCCAGAUGGGUGGCCACCUAGUCCACGCUGAGGAAGUGGAGAGGCUGGCGGCGAUGCGUUCUGACUCCCUCGUCCCAGGCACCCACACCCCACCCAUCCGCAGGAGAAGUAAGUUUGCCAACCUGGGAAGGAUUUUCAAGCCUUGGAAAUGGAGGAAGAAGAAAAGCGAAAAGUUCAAACACACGUCAGCAGCCCUGGAAAGGAAAAUAUCUAUGAGGCAAAGCAGAGAAGAGCUGAUAAAGCGAGGAGUCCUGAAGGAAAUCUAUGAUAAAGAUGGGGAACUCUCUAUAUCCAAUGAAGAGGACUCCCUAGAAAAUGGGCAGUCCCUGAGCU